GAUGAAGAACGUAGCGAAAUGCGAUAAGUAAUGUGAAUUGCAGAAUUCAGUGAAUCAUCGAAUCUUUGAACGCACAUUGCGCCCUCUGGUAUUCCGGGGGGCAUGCCUGUUCGAGCGUCAUUAUAACCACUCAAGCUCUCGCUUGGUAUUGGAGUUCGCGAUCUCGCGGCUCCUAAAAUCAGUGGCGGUGCCUGUCGGCUCUACGCGUAGUAAUACUCCUCGCGAUUGAGUCCGGUAGGUUUACUUGCCAGCAACCCCCAAUUUUUACAGGUUGACCUCGGAUCAGGUAGGGAUACCCGCUGAACUUAAGCAUAUCAAUAAGCGGAGG
rnacentral:misc_RNA from 1 species